CCUUCCCUAAUUUGUCGACUCCCUCUCCUCUUGUGGACCGCGCCGGUUCCCCGCCAUCUGCUUCCCCCGCACCGUCGGCUCCCUCCGUCUACUUCCACCGCCCCGCCGCCAACCGGCGCCGCCCCCUGAUUUGCCCUCAAAAGGGGACGCCGCCCCCGCCCUGCCCCCAAUCGGCGCCGCCGCCCCCGCCCUGCCCCCAACCGGCGCCGCCGCCCCCACGCUGCCCCUGACCGCACUCGUCGCCGUCAGCUGCCUGCAUUAACGCCGCCGGAGGAUACCACGCGCCUCCGUCGGGCCCUGCUACCUCCACCUCCUCCCAGUGGUGCUCCUCCAUGGACGGAGCACCUGGAUCUGGUGACGGCACGGACCACCGGAGCUCGCGCCUUGCUCCCGCUGCCUUGUCCGCCGCCUCUUCCACUGCCGCCUUGUCCACUAGCGCCCACCGCCCAUGCAUGGUGUCCGCCGCCUCCUACAGUCGUGCAAUACGCCGGUCGUAGCAAACCGUCCCCUCCUCAUUGAUGCGAAGGGAAGAAGAUCCCCAACUCCGGCGAGCCCGGAACAUGACUUUCCCCGUUGCGCCGGUCUGAACAGCAACAAGACGCAUGUGAAGGCAGUUGGGCGAAAAAAUAUGGUUAUGGAUUUCGAAUUUUGUCAUGAAGUCAUUUAAGUUUGUUUGAAUAAAUUGUUGCAAUUCUUACUUGUACAAGUAGAAACAUUUGUAUGAAAAUAAUUCAUUUGGUGAAAA